rnacentral:rRNA from 1 species
AAGCCUAGGAAUCUGCCUGGUAGUGGGGGAUAACGCUCGGAAACGGACGCUAAUACCGCAUACGUCCUACGGGAGAAAGCAGGGGACCUUCGGGCCUUGCGCUAUCAGAUGAGCCUAGGUCGGAUUAGCUAGUUGGUGAGGUAAUGGCUCACCAAGGCGACGAUCCGUAACUGGUCUGAGAGGAUGAUCAGUCACACUGGAACUGAGACACGGUCCAGACUCCUACGGGAGGCAGCAGUGGGGAAUAUUGGACAAUGGGCGAAAGCCUGAUCCAGCCAUGCCGCGUGUGUGAAGAAGGUCUUCGGAUUGUAAAGCACUUUAAGUUGGGAGGAAGGGCAUUAACCUAAUACGUUAGUGUUUUGACGUUACCGACAGAAUAAGCACCGGCUAACUCUGUGCCAGCAGCCGCGGUAAUACAGAGGGUGCAAGCGUUAAUCGGAAUUACUGGGCGUAAAGCGCGCGUAGGUGGUUCGUUAAGUUGGAUGUGAAAUCCCCGGGCUCAACCUGGGAACUGCAUUCAAAACUGUCGAGCUAGAGUAUGGUAGAGGGUGGUGGAAUUUCCUGUGUAGCGGUGAAAUGCGUAGAUAUAGG